CCUACGGGAGGCUGCAGUGAGGAAUAUUGGUCAAUGGGCGGGAGCCUGAACCAGCCAAGUCGCGUGAGGGACGACGGUCCUAUGGAUUGUAAACCUCUUUUGUCGGGGAACAAAGGCGGCCACGGGUGGGCGGAUGAGUGUACCCGAAGAAAAAGCAUCGGCUAACUCCGUGCCAGCAGCCGCGGUAAUACGGAGGAUGCGAGCGUUAUCCGGAUUUAUUGGGGUUAAAGGGUGCGUAGGGGGACAGUAAAGUCAGUGGUAAAAUUGGGAGGCUCAACCUCGUCGAGCCGUUGAAACUGGUUUUCUUGAGUGAGCGAGAGGUAUGCGGAAUGCGUGGUGUAGCGGUGAAAUGCAUAGAUAUCACGAAGAACUCCGAUUGCGAAGGCAGCAUACCGGCGCUCAACUGACGCUCAUGCACGAAAGUGUGGGUAUCGAACAGGAUUAGAUACCCGGGUAGUC
rnacentral:rRNA from 1 species